GCCACAUGAGGAGGAGAGAAAAGGUAUUUAUAAAAAGUAAUAAUACAAAAUAAAGAUGCAGUGUCUGUGUAAACUGCUUAUAAUUCAUGGACAUUAUACAUUUACACAUGACUUUUUACAUCUGUUGUUUUUGUGGUAUUUGCACAGGUCAGGUUAAAUUGUAAUAACUCAUUGUACUUUGCCAUCCUACUCUGUUUGAAUGUGUACAUUUACUGACAUUGCAGAUGGGUUCUAUGUAGAGAGCCUUCUCAAAGUUGCAAGCUCCAAGAAAGUUAAAAGGCACUUUGUAACAGUUGCAGAGCUACAGAGGAGAUGCUCAGCCCCAGAAAACUACUCUGCCAACCUCAUGGUCACAUACUUGAGGAAGGCAAAACAUAAGAAAAAGGAGUUAGAAGGGCAGUUGAGACAGGCAGGAGUGCAACCUUCUAAAUAUGCAGCAAACACUACUAUGUGCUCCCGGCUGGUGGAAGAUGAGUGCAAAAGUCUGGCAGAGGACCUUGGACAGCUCACAAAGCACAUCCCCUUUGAAAGCAUUGGGAAAAGACUGGCUGAGGGCAACAAAAACAUACCAUCUGCUAUUGUAAAAGUUGAAGAAUUGAGGUAAAUUUCUUAUACUUCUAGUUUCCUUUGUCUUCCCUACGUUACACACACAUGCGGCAAAAA
rnacentral:lncRNA from 1 species